rnacentral:rRNA from 1 species
AAACCAACAGGGAUUGCCUCAGUAACGGCGAGUGAAGCGGCAAAAGCUCAAAUUUGAAAUCUAGCACCUUCGGUGUUCGAGUUGUAAUUUGAAGAUGGUAACCUUGGGUUUGGCUCUUGUCUAUGUUCCUUGGAACAGGACGUCAUAGAGGGUGAGAAUCCCGUCUGAUGAGAUGCCCAUUCCUUUGUAAGGUACUAUCGAAGAGUCGAGUUGUUUGGGAAUGCAGCUCUAAGUGGGUGGUAAAUUCCAUCUAAAGCUAAAUAUUGGCGAGAGACCGAUAGCGAACAAGUACAGUGAUGGAAAGAUGAAAAGAACUUUGAAAAGAGAGUGAAAAAGUACGUGAAAUUGUUGAAAGGGAAGGGCAUUAGAUCAGACUUGGUGUUUUACGAUUAUCUUCUCUUCUUGAGUUGUGCACUCGUAUUUCACUGGGCCAGCAUCGAUUCGGAUGGUAAGAUAAUAGCAGUUAAAUGUGGCUCUUCGGAGUGUUAUAGUUUCUGUUGAUAUUGCCUGUCUGGAUCGAGGGCUGCGUCUUUUGACUAGGAUGCUGGCGUA